AUUGAACGCUGGCGGCAGGCCUAACACAUGCAAGUCGAGCGGAUGAAGGGAGCUUGCUCCUGCAUUCAGCGGCGGACGGGUGAGUAAUGCCUAGGAAUCUGCCUGGUAGUGGGGGGUAACGUCCGGAAACGGGCGCUAAUACCGCAUACGUCCUGAGGGAGAAAGUGGGGGAUCUUCGGACCUCACGCUAUCAGAUGAGCCUAGGUCGGAUUAGCUAGUUGGUGGGGUAAAGGCCUACCAAGGCGACGAUCCGUAACUGGUCUGAGAGGAUGAUCAGUCACACUGGAACUGAGACACGGUCCAGACUCCUACGGGAGGCAGCAGUGGGGAAUAUUGGACAAUGGGCGAAAGCCUGAUCCAGCCAUGCCGCGUGUGUGAAGAAGGUCUUCGGAUUGUAAAGCACUUUAAGUUGGGAGGAAGGGCAGUAAGUUAAUACCUUGCUGUUUUGACGUUACCAACAGAAUAAGCACCGGCUAACUUCGUG
rnacentral:rRNA from 1 species